rnacentral:tRNA from 1 species
UGGGGAAUAGCUUAGUUGGUAGAGUACAGGACUUGCAUCCCUGCAGUUCCUGGUUCGAUUCCUGGCACUACAC